GGAGGUAGUGACAAUAAAUCACAAUGCGGGACUAUCAGUCUUGCAAUUGGAUUGAGAACAAUGUACAACUCUUAUCGAUAAGCCAUUGGAGGGCAAGUCUGGUGCCAGCAGCCGCGGUAAUUCCAGCUCCAAUAGCGUAUAUUAACGUUGUUGCAGUUAAAAAGCUCGUAGUUGAAGUGUGGGUGAUCGCUGUUGUGAGACUUCGGUCUCUCGACAGUAAGUCACCCCCUUCCAGUAUCCAGUAGUGGGUAUUCACUUACUUACUACUGUGUGUUGGUCCUUUACUGUGAGAAAAUUAGAGUGUUCAAAGCAGGCGUUUGCUUGAAUAGAUUAGCAUGGAAUAAUAAUUGAAGGCUUUCGUGUUCGAUUUGAUUGGUUUGUUCAUGGAAGCAAGGUUAAAAGGAACAGUUGGGGGUAUUCAUAUUCACUAGUUAGAGGUGAAAUUCUCGGAUUUAUGGAAGAUGAACAAGUGCGAAAGC
rnacentral:rRNA from 1 species